GGCUCCGUGAGGCCGAACCUCACACUCUGCCAGACCUGCGCUGAGCUCCCUCCUGAGACUGGCCGGGACCGCGAAAGUGGGACGCGGUUUUCGAAAUAUACUGUCAAGGUGUAGUUGCAGUGAGCUGUGAAAAAUGAGUUUGAAAGCCACUACUUUAGGGGGAAAGAAGAGUAGCCAUAGCAAAGUCACCAAGCCAAUAAAUUCCAGAGGCCCAGCUGAUUUCCCUACAUCUUUUCAAAGUUACUGCCCCAUGGCAGGCCAACUCUUCCCUCAAUGGAUGCACAGGGCUCACUGUCAGUUGAAAUGUGUGUAUUUUUAGAGCUUUGUACUAUGAGUGAUUUGACAGCCAUUACAAGGGGGAAAAAAAA